GCAGAGGGAGAAGCAGACUCUCUGCCGAGCAGGGAGCCCGAUGCGGGACUCGAUCCUGGGACUCCGGGAUCAUGACCUGAGCCGAAGGCAGUCGCUUAACCAACUGAGCCACCCAGGCGCCCCCACCCAUUUUCUUCAACUUGCAAGUCUGAGAGCUGCUUGGGCCCCUGCUGGGCUCUUCCGUGUGCUCUGGCCGGUGGGCAGCAGGCAGGCGGGGCACGUGGUUCUUGUCCCCCAGCAGGCACCCCUGGCCUCGUUCUCAUGGGGAUUUGGGGACUCCAAGCAGGUGCAGCUCUGUUCAGGUCUCUGCUCGGGUCACAUUUGCUAUCUUUCCACCCGGGGUCUGCCCAAAGUCCUGUGGGGGAGGCCACCCGAGGGCCUGAGCGCAGGGAGGCAGCUUAUCAGCCCUGUUGGCAAGCUGUCUGCCACGGUGAGAGACAAAAGCCACCACUGAUAUGGCUUUAAGCACCAAAUGGUUAAUACAGUAAGGAGAAAGCAGUCCCCCAUUUUAUCACGUCUGUGUUGCGUCACUCUGUCCUUUCUCCGAUAGGUCCACGUUAGAAACGUGUCCUGGCACCAACAAAGGUCCCAUCGACAAACUAGUUCCAGAAGCUUUUCUGAGCCAGACAUUGCACUUACAGUUUAGAUGAAGCUGAAAUUCUGUCAUUGUCUUGGAAAAUGGUCAGUUCUGUGCAAUUAUCCUAUGGGGAGCUAUUUCCCCCGAGAAGCCGUGUGAACACUCUCAUGAACCCAAGCAGAUCUUUACAGUCACAGACACAGUUUUCUGCGGUCACCGAGUUUAUUCUCACUGCUGGGAUUUCAUUUCUCGGGCUCCGGAAGCACAAGGUCCCUUGGGUGUGUCCUGCUCGUUGUGUGUGUGAAUGCAGACAGAUUCCACUCCCUGCCACGUGUCCGGGAACGGCGGGAGAAGAUGUUUCCCAGCGCCUCCGAGAAAGGUGGUGGAGAAAAAGAAGGAGGAGGCACACCUCACAUGGGAACCAAGAGACUGAAUCAAGGCUGCAUGGAAUCCAGCUUCAGUUCAAUGAAGACCGCUAAAUAUACUGGAUGGAUGGCUACUGUUUCCUUUCUCUUCACAUCCCAGAGCUGCUUCUCUUGCUCCAAAAAGAUGACCAGGUCUGGCUUCCACACAGUAAGACCCAGGAAGAGGAGGUGUCCGUAGUUCUCUAACAUCACAUCCCUGUACAAUUCCCGCUGAGUGUGGUUCAGGCAUCCCCACUCCUCCUGAGAGAAUUCUAUGGCCACAUCCCUGAAUGUCAGCAGUCCCUGAGAACUGGCCAUUUCUUCUUCUUUCACCUUGUCCUCUAGAUUUCUUUGUCAGAAGAGAUUCAUCCAUAAUGACUCAUCUUACUGAUUGUUCUCUGACAUGUAAAGUUUAUCAAAGUAUCAGAAAGGUUCAGGAUUGGGGAAUCUGGCUCACCCCCCCACCCCACCCCAACCCUACCCUGUCAGCGUCACCACCACCUCCAGGAAGAAGACAACACAAAUCCUUCAGGAUGGCUGCUAAUCAGAGCCUCAGGAAACAAUUCUCCAUGACCCUGUCAUGUUGCUCCACCCUAAACAGGUUUUGCUCCAGGGAAAGGCUUUCUUGCAUCUAACAGAGUCCCUUGUGCUGACAGUUGUAUAUUUUUCUUUCACCUGUUUUUUUAAGUUGAGGUAUAAUUGACAUAGCAUCAUAUUGCUUUCAGGUGUGCAAUGCAAUAGUCGAUAUUUGUAUAUAUUUACUGUCUGCAAAGUGUAGGUAUGGAAUCACAGAGCGCUGGUGCUGCAAGGGAGCUCAGUGCACAGCUUUGUGAUACAACAGGAGCGGAAGUACGGGCCCAGUGAGGCCAAGUUCCCACAGAUGGUUGGGAGCAGAGAGGCCUGGUCUCCUGGGCCUGAAGAGCAUUUCUUUUCACCAUAUGGAAUUCAUUUGCAGAUACAUUUAAAUCCCUCCCCAGACUCCAUUUCUCAAGUUGAAGAUGAUCUUUUAGCCUUUCCCAAAACUUCAGAUAUUUUCUUCUUAUUUUCUCCGAGUUCUCUGUACACAGAUUAAGUUGUGGUGUGGAGACCAUGCUGUUCUCAGAACAAGUAGCAGGCUCUACUGUUAGUGUCUGGGAUAAUAUUCUUAUCAUGAACAAUCCAUUAAUAAAGCCAAAAUAUCUCUUGAGCUCUUACGCACCACAUAUCAGACAGUGAUGUAUGCACUGAGUACAUAGGAAUGAACAUGACAGCCCAUCCUUCAAGGGCCUUGGAGUUUGAGGGAGAUGUUGAUAGCUUAGGGGUUGACCAAGGUAUGAAGGAGGAGAUGUGUGUGUGGGGUGGCUUGGAGGGGUGGUUUGGGGCCCAAGAAAGGGUAUCAUCAUGUCUAUGGGGCUUUGGGAGAAACUUUAAGGGAAGUUUUUACAAAAAGUGGGGUUUUUUGCUGGCUCUGGAAGAAGGCACUACUUGGUGGGUAAGUGGAGCAACCCAUUUUUAGCCUUCCCUACUUUGGUGUUUAAGCACCAUUUUUAGCCUUCCAGUGUUCAGCAGUGUUUAAGCACUAAAGUAGUGUGUUUGGCAUGACUUACAUAUGCAUGUGUGCACCUGUGUGCGGGCACAUGGAUAUGUGUGUGUCUUCAGUAGCAUUUUUUGGAGUAACAAGAUCACAUGGGUUUUGGAAAGAUCACUUCGGUUGCAAUGUGGAGAAUGAAUUGAAGGGAGAAGAAAGGAAAAUCCAUUUAGGCGACUAAAAUAAUAGUCCAGAAAGAAAUGAUGAAGAUUUGGAUGAGGCAAAGGGCCAUAUCAGGAGAAUAAUCCACAGGAUUCAGUGGCCCCUUGGAUACUGAGUGUUGAGGAGGUUGUCUAGGAGUUUUAUGGUAUUAGGUGUUCUGUUUAAGUCUCUGGUCCAUUGUGAGUUAAUGUUUGUGAGUAUUGUAAGACAGGGGUCCAAUUUCAUUUUUUCUCCAUGUAGUUAACCAGUUUUCCCAGCACCAUUUGUGGUGGUGUUCUUUUCCCAUUGGAUGUUCUUGGCUCCCUUAUCAAAUACUAGCUAACCAGACAAGCAAGGGUUCAAUUUUGGGCUCUUUGCUCUGCUCCAUUACCUACAGGUCUGUUUUUAUGCCGGUACCAUGCUGUCUUAAUUACUAUAGCUUUGUAGUAGCGUGAAAUCAGGAAGUGUGAUGCCUCCACCUUUGUUCUUUCUGUGAUGGCCUUGGCUAUUUGGCAUCUUUUGUGGUUCCAUACAAAUUUUAGGAUUGUUUACUCUAUUCCUGUGAAAAAUGCUGUUGCAAUUUUGAUAGGGAUGGCAAUGAAUUUAUAGCUAGCUUUGGGUAUCAAGGACUUUUAAUAAUAUUAACUCUUCUAAUCCAUGAGCCAUUUGUUUGUGUCUUCUUUGAUUUCUUUCGAACAAGUCUUGUAGUUUUCAUUGUAUUGAUCUUUCACUUCCUUGGUUAAAUUUAUUUCUAGGUAUUUUAUUGUUUUUAAUGCUACUGUAAAUGGGAUCGUUGUAUUUUUUUCAGAUAUUUCAUUGUUAGUGUAUAGAAAUGCAACUUGUUUUUGUGUAUUGAUUUUACAGCCUUUAGCUUUACUGAAUUCAUUGGUUAGAUCCAACAGUUUUUUAGUUGAGUCUGGGAUUUUCAAUACAAGAUCACAUCAUUUGAAAACAAUGCCAAAUUUCCAGUUGGAAUACCUUUUUUUUCUUUGUCUUGCUUGAUUGCUCUAGAUGGGACUUCCAGUACCAUGUUGAGUAGGAGUGGUGAGAGUGACCAUCCUGAGGCUCUCCUCCAGUUUUAAUAUUUUAUUCAAGUUUUAUUUUAAGUGAUGAUAAUUUAAGCAGUUGAAGGAGGAGGGUCUAAUUCCAAACAAAAGGGAAGACUAAAAUGAACCCAUUAAACUUCUAAAAAGCCAGCUGAGUGGUGAUCAUGCAACAGAAGUCUGAUUUCGAUCCCAAGGGUUGUCACCAUGUGACUACAGUGAUACACUCUUCCCAUCUUGCAGCUGGAACUCUUGGCAGCUAUGUCAGACUCUGGUGCAAAGGCAGCAGAUCCAUAAGAGAGAGAAUUAAGUCCUGAGUCAUGGCUUUCAUCACGUCCACCCUCUCUACCCCAAAACAGCACAGAGGAAACAGCUACUUUCCCUGACGACCACUUUUGAGGAGGAUGGAGUAAGAGGUAGUGAUGUAGGCAUCUCUGCUGAGGGGCUCUGUGUUGGGGCAUAGCUUCAACAAUCAACGAGACAGUUCACAACUACACCUUAGCUUAACUUAGCUUUUACAGAGCCUCAAGGUCAGCCACAGGUGGAGCUAUGGUCUCUCCUGAGCCUUUACACGGCCCUGGGCAUGUAUGUGGCCUUCUAGAUUCCCAGAAAUAUGUGGGGGCUUUUCAAAGCCCUUAUUCGAAUACCCAGAGCUCCUCAUUCCCUAGUAUUUCCACCCCCACCUUUUGGCCAAUCUAUUGUGAUCUGUUAUCCACUACCUCAUGCAUCAGUGACUAAAACAUUUGCCCAGAAAGGUUUUCGAUAAAUGGCCCCAGAUAGCAGCUUUAUCACAAGGCCAGAAAUCCAAGCCUUUAGAACAUGUCUCCCAGGGAACCUCCAGACAGAUCAAAUAAUGGCAAUUCUUUGCAAAUAAGGUCCAUUCUUCCCCCUCUGGUGCCUGACCCAGGGAUGCAGACUGUUAUUUUAAAGGCUAACACUCAUUGACGCAUUGGGGGAUGGGCUAGGGUAAUAUGAAAUGCUGCUUAUGGAGAUUCAGGCCUUUUUUUGGAAUAAGUGCCCCCCAGGUUACUGCAUGGUUUUGCGUAGAUUCUAGAGUUCCAAAUGAGUUUAUUCUGCCUGUUUUUUUGUUUCAUUGAUUUUUAUGCAGAUGUGGAUUUUUGGAUUUCCUUACUCUGACAAUUUUUGCUCUCAUCACCCAUGAGUGAGUUUCUUAAGAGUAAAUAGGUUCUGUAUUUUAUUUAUCUACAUGCUGAGGAAACUUUUGGUCACAGGAUAGAUGUUUGCUACAUACUUGUUGCAUAAAGGAAUGCAUGGAUCAGUAGGAAUUGAAAAUAGAGACAUUUGAGAAGCUUGGCCAUGACUGGAAGUAGGUAUGUGGUGCCUGGAGGGGAGAUAGUUUUGAGGGAGGUUUUUUUUUUUUUAAUUGAACACAUUUAUAGCAUGUGGUGAGAAACCGCUGGAGUGAGAACAUUAAAAAAUCUGUAUUACUACAUGGCUGUGUUCACCAUCCUUGUUUUUGGCAAUGGUGUGACUCUGGCCCUAAGUCAGCCUGUGGUUCCCUUCAUCCUGAGCUCUUUCC